rnacentral:lncRNA from 1 species
UGUGAUGAAACAAAGGGAUGACAGUCAACUGGAAAAAAAUUAGAAAUCCUGAAGAUAAUUAUUACCAACUGCAAAACCUGCAACUAUGAUUGAAUAUAAAAGAAAAUUUUCAAUAAAUGCCUGCAAGGUAUCACACACUAUGAGUGAUCAAGCCCCUACAAAACGUGGGAGGAAGAUGCCGAGAAAACUGAGAAGUUAUGUUUAAGCCCUUUUAAAAUAUUAAUAUUUUUGGAUUUGAUUCAGGCACUAGGAGACAAAAGUGGGUGAUUGCUCAUUAAGAGUUAGUCCCCCACCUCUGGUGAGACUCCACUUACCAAAGUCCGACUAAUAGUGCUGAAAGGAAGUCAUCUCUAGAGAUGAUACUUAGCUGGAGCUGGGCAUGACACUGCACUAAGCUUAUUGGUGAAGAAGUUGAGAUGGUGGGUGGGUUUUCCUAGAGAACGAUGGGAAAGUCUAUUGAGACAAUAAUCUCAGAAAUUUCUAAUUCAUGUUCCUUCCAUAGCUAGGUUAUUAUACACUUAUGUCACCUAACCCUACUACCAAGAGACCCACUACCAUAUUCUAACUAAUUACAUAUUUAAGAACAAAGAGAAAUAUCUAGACAGAGAGGAAUAAAAGGUUCAGACAACACACUAGUAGGCCUUCUCAGGUAGUCCUCAAGGAGGCAAUUAAGGACAUCAGUAUCGCCUUUGGAUCAGAAGAGUUGUUGUCACCCUUUAGAGACAUCAACUAUGGAAGGAUGGGAGACUAACCUCCAAAGCCAGCGUAUCUAGUUAACUAUAUAAUUAGAUUACAUAGCUAAUUGGAGAAAUUCAAUGGAUUUUUUGUUCAUUUCUUUUUAUUUCUUUAAUUUUCUCUUUUCUUGUCUCCAUGUAAUCUUUAUUUUUAUAAGGAACUUAAUUGCUUAAAAAAAACACUUAAGAUAAUUGGCUAAUAUAAUCAUUAAUCACAAUGUAAUAAACAUAUCCAUUGUUAAUCAAACGACAACUUGAUUACCCACGAGAUCGACACUCCCUCACAAUGUGGUGGCAUUCGAUUUGUUUAGAUAGACGAUUAAAAAAGAAAAAGAGAACACAGAUUUAUAGAGGUUCCACCUCAGAUGGUUUCCGUCCUCUCCCUUCUGUAGUGGUGAUGGCUUUGUAUUAAUCAAUCACAAUUAGGGUUACAAUGUAAUGUAAUCAUAAGUAUAUAUAAUGGGAUAUUAAUUGGGUUGGUCCCAAUUAAUUACAUAACAAUUGGCCCAAUAAGGGUUGAUAUUAUUCCACACGUCUAUAACUCCCAAAUUACCAACAUACCCCAACAAUCUCCCACUUGGAGUUUGUCUACCACCAUCACCACAACAACUCCCUUUCAUAAAUGUUCAUGGAGUCCAGCGAAGGCCAUGCAUAGCCUUAGCUUCCCAAUACUCAACACCUUGGUGAGUAUUCAGCAACAUUAUCAUUCCAUGCUAUCUUCCUCAAAUUAAGAUCCCCUUUCUCAAUCAAUUCCUUGAUAAAGUGAUAUUUGUGCAUGAUAUGCUUGGACCUUGAAUGAAAUUUAAGAUUCUUUGCUAAGUAAAUAGUAGUCUGACUGUCAGAAAACAAAACUAAAUUUUUCUGACCAAAACCCAAUUAAGUGAGCAAACCUUCAAGUCAAAUCCUCUCAUUAGCUGCCUCUGUCACAACUACAUACUCAACUUCAGUGGUUGAAAAUGAGACCUAACAUUGUUACUUGGAGGCAGAAAAUGUAUCCAGAAGUGCUCCUGCUGGUGUCCAAAUACCCUCUAAAAUCAGAAUCACAGAUUCACAAUAACCAACUUUCACAACCUUCUUAGUGAAACAUAAACCUACAUUCAGUGAAUUCUAUAGAUACCUCAGAAUCCACUUAACUGCCUUACAAUGCUCUUCACUAGGGUUUGACAUAAAUCUACUCACAACUCCCACUACAUGGGAAAUGUCUGGUCUAGUGCAAAUCAUGGCAUAUAUUAGACUUCCAACUGUUGAGGAUAUCAUGAGACAAUAUCAUUAUAUCUCCUACCAUCACAUGGUCAAUGAUACUUAGAAGAUGUAUUUAAUUGGACACUACACAUCAAGUAAGCUUUUUGGAAAAAACAAUUUGAAUAAAUGUAACAAAAAAUUCAAGUAAAUAUUCCCUUACUGCCAAAUUAUAAGAAUUAAUUUAAUGAAUACAAUAAUAAUAAAGGUUUUAC